UACGAGGGGGGCAAGCGUUGUUCGGAAUUAUUGGGCGUAAAGGGCGCGUAGGCGGUGCGGUAAGUCACCUGUGAAAACUCUGGGCUCAACUCAGAGCCUGCAGGCGAAACUGCCGUGCUUGAGUGUGGGAGAGGUGAGUGGAAUUCCCGGUGUAGCGGUGAAAUGCGUAGAUAUCAGGAGGAAUACCGGUGGUGUAGACGGCUCUCUGGACCGCCACUGACGCUGAGACACGAAAGCGUGGGUAGCAAACAGG
rnacentral:rRNA from 1 species